rnacentral:lncRNA from 1 species
UCCACAAGGCUCACCAUUGCAAGUCUCGGGGUGUAGGACCCAGGGGUCUGAGUGCCAGGAAAGUUCCCCAUGGUUCUGAUAUCUUGUGGCUUUAGGGGAGAUUCUCAGAUAGUUCUCUUAGCUUGGUUCUGUGUGGGAUGAGGUAGGAUGAGGCUAUGCUGACGUCCUCUGUCUGGAGAAAUCAAGGAGCUGAGGCAGGUGCCUUAAUGCAUCUGUCUUAAUGAGUCUGGGUCCAGGAAGUAGAGGAGCCUUUACCUAGAAGGGGUACAUCUCCCUGCUCUGUUUCUUUGUUACUAAGUUUCCCAGGCUGGGCUUCAAUUUGUCAUCCUGCUACAGCGUCCUGAGUGCCGGGAUUACAAAUGUGCACCACCACACCAGGCUCAAAGUCUGCAUUAUUAUUACUGCUUUUAAUUAAAAAAAAUUAAAUUC